rnacentral:rRNA from 1 species
UUGAACGCUGGCGGAAUGCUUUACACAUGCAAGUCGAGCGGCAGCGCGGGGCAACCUGGCGGCGAGCGGCGAACGGGUGAGUAACACAUCGGAACGUACCCUGUCGUGGGGGAUAACGAAUCGAAAGAUUCGCUAAUACCGCAUACGACCUGAGGGUGAAAGCAGGGGAUCGCAAGACCUUGCGCGACAGGAGCGGCCGAUGUCGGAUUAGCUAGUUGGUAGGGUAAAGGCCUACCAAGGCGACGAUCCGUAGCGGGUCUGAGAGGACGACCCGCCACACUGGGACUGAGACACGGCCCAGACUCCUACGGGAGGCAGCAGUGGGGAAUUUUGGACAAUGGGCGCAAGCCUGAUCCAGCCAUUCCGCGUGAGUGAAGAAGGCCUUCGGGUUGUAAAGCUCUUUCAGCAGGGAAGAAACGGUUGUGGUUAAUACCCAUGGCUAAUGACGGUACCUGAAGAAGAAGCACCGGCUAACUACGU